CCAAGGGUUCCUGCGUAAAGCUAAUCUGCGCAGGGUUAGUCGGCCCCUAAGGCGAGGGCGAAAGCCGUAGUCGAUGGGAAACAGGUUAAUAUUCCUGUACCCGUGAGAAGUGACGGCCUCUGGACGUAGUCUUUCCUUAUUGGAUUGGAAGGGCUGGUAAGGAGGUCCAGGAAAUAACUCUCACGUAUGGACCGUACCCCAAACCGACACAGGUGGGCAGGUUGAAUAUACCAAGGCGCUUGAGAGAAUGAUGUUGAAGGAACUCGGCAAAUUGCCCCCGUAACUUCGGGA
rnacentral:rRNA from 1 species